ACGAACUUCUGUGAUCGCGGUAGUUUCUUCCCGCGAAAACUUCUUGAAUCAUUUUCACACAAUGUUUCUCCACUCUUCCAAUCCCAAAGUCUCGAAUCGUCUGUGAAAAAAGAAGAACAGAUCGUCACUGCGCUCUGUUUAUUUAAGUUCGAAGCUAUGGCUCGAGGGGGGUGUUUGAUGAGAUUGUGAAAUGGAUUUGGGGGGCGGAGGCUUGGAAGUAGUUAUUGCGAGAUUUCGAUGGCGUUGAUGUGUGCGGUCGUGUCACAGUUCCCGAUUACGAUGAUCAUCUGCAAAAGAUUGGUGCAAUGCUUGCAGGCUAUGUGAAUAAGAUGAUGAAAAGAAGCUUAACGACGUAAAGGCUAGGGAUCAGGACAUGAAAAAGCUGGGAAUUUCUGUCUUUUAUUCUCUGGUACCACCUCCACCUUACCAUUUGCUAAACAGAUGUUUCUAACUACUCAGACGUCCUUUGACACAAGUUAUGGCGCUUAAGGAUUGCAAAGUGAAUGCUGCUAUCCUUCUGAGCCAGAAACACGUAAAAGACGAAUGUCACAGAGUUUCUUCAAAUUCAUCUGUUAGAAAAUAGCUUCAGCUUACCCGAGAGCUGGGAUUGUCUGCAAAAGUAAAUUGGUUCUUCAGGAGCAACAGCUUCAAAUUUGCAAAACCCAUCAUCAAAAUUUAGAGCAUAGCUGCAAGGAUCAUAUUGAAAAUUGAACCUUCUUUUUCCUCCGUUCUUGAUGGCUUUCUUCAUCGCUGCUCUCAUCCUCCAGAACAGUUUCCUGAAUUGCUUCCUACUGUUGCGAUAUUUUCUGGGUAUUUGAGGAAGAUUAUAAAGGAUUCACAGACACAGAGACAAACAUCAAGAGUUGCAAUGAGGUUUAUGCAGAAGUGUCAGAACUAAAACAACAAAAGAAGAUUCACCUUUUUGUAUACAGGAGUAACGAGUAAUAAGAGAAAGGGCAAAGUGUAAUCUUUUGGACUUCCAAUGAAGCUUCGCAGUUUCUGCUGACCCCCUACGAUGAUCGGCCUUUUCUCCUUGGAGUCAUGUUGGAAUGCUCAAAUUCCAUCAACUACAGCGAUAAAGACAGAGAAGGAGAAGGGGAGAGAAGAAGGGAGGGAGAACUAAUAGCUGUUGCAGUGGGCAGAGAGCCUACAAAGACAUAUCAGUAUCGAAUAUUGUUGCGGCAAAAGUAACGAAGGAAGCUGACUAUGUUCAACGGUAUGUCCUCGGUCUUUACCUCUUUCACGGGCAUAAACAUAUUUAAUGUUCCACUAAGCGUUUUAAUAGUUCUUUUCGGUUCCUAAAGAUUCAUACUUUUGAAAAGCAAGGAAUAAACUUCCUUCUGAGCAUUCUUGCUGGAAAGGAUUAUAACGAUUCAAACCU